AUUGAACGCUGGCGGCAUGCCUUACACAUGCAAGUCGAACGGUAACGCGGGGCAACCUGGCGACGAGUGGCGAACGGGUGAGUAAUGUAUCGGAACGUGCCCAGUUGUGGGGGAUAACUGGUUGAAAGAGCAGCUAAUACCGCAUACGAACUGAGGGUGAAAGCGGGGGAUCGGAAGACCUCGCGCAAUUGGAGCGGCCGAUAGCAGAGUAGGUAGUUGGUGGGGUAAAGGCUCACCAAGCCGACGAUCUGUAGCUGGGCUGAGAGGACGACCAGCCACACUGGGACUGAGACACGGCCCAGACUCCUACGGGAGGCAGCAGUGGGGAAUUUUGGACAAUGGACGCAAGGCUGAUCCAGCCAUGCCGCGUGCGGGAAGAAGGCCUUCGGGUUGUAAACCGCUUUUGUCAGGGAAGAAAAGGCUCCUUCUAAUAUAGGGGGCUCAUGACGGUACCUGAAGAAUAAGCACCGGCUAACUACGUGCCAGCCGCCGCGGUAA
rnacentral:rRNA from 1 species